GACGAACGCUGGCGGCGUGCUUAACACAUGCAAGUCGAACGGUGAAGCGCCUUCCUUUUUGGUGGGUGUGGAUGAGUGGCGAACGGGUGAGUAACACGUGAGUAACCUGCCCCCUUCUUCUGGAUAACCGCAUGAAAGUGUGGCUAAUACGGGAUAUUCUGGGUCUGUCGCAUGAUGGGUCUGGGAAAGAUAUUGUUUCGGUGGGGGAUGGGCUCGCGGCCUAUCAGCUUGUUGGUGGGGUGAUGGCCUACCAAGGCGGUGACGGGUAGCCGGCCUGAGAGGGUGGACGGUCCCACUGGGACUGAGACACGGCCCAGACUCCUACGGGAGGCAGCAGUGGGGAAUAUUGCACAAUGGGCGCAAGCCUGAUGCAGCGACGCCGCGUGAGGGAUGGAGGCCUUCGGGUUGUGAACCUCUUUCGCCAGUGAAGCAGGCCUGCCUCGUUUGUGGGUGGGUUGACGGUAGCUGGAGAAGAAGCGCCGGCUAACUACGUG
rnacentral:rRNA from 1 species